ACGCUCGACACCUACGUGAGGCAGCAGUCGGGAAUAUUGCGCAAUGGAGGGAACUCUGACGCAGUGACGCCGCGUAUAGGAAGAAGGUUUUCGGAUUGUAAACUAUUGUCGUUAGGGAAGAGAAAGGACAGUACCUAAGGAGGAAGCUCCGGCUAACUACGUGCCAGCAGCCGCGGUAAUCUGAGCGGGCUGGCAAGGC
rnacentral:rRNA from 1 species